AAGAGUAUUUAUAUUUUAGACCAUUUAUUAGUUUACAGAAGAUUAAAGUUAUCGCCAAUUAGUAAAAUGCUCAGUUAUAAGAACAUCCCAUACGCUGACUCAAGCAAAAACCUAAUUACGAACUUAACUAGCAUCAAAUGAUGGACUGGAAGAGAAAAUGUAAACAAUACCCGAAUAAUCAUCGUUUUUAAUAGAAAACGAAAAG